AUUGAACGCUGGCGGCAGGCCUAACACAUGCAAGUCGAACGAGUGGCGGACGGGUGAGUAAUGUCUGGGAAACUGCCCGAUGGAGGGGGAUAACUACUGGAAACGGUAGCUAAUACCGCAUACCAUCGGAUGUGCCCAGAUGGGAUUAGCUAGUAGGUGGGGUAACGGCUCACCUAGGCGACGAUCCCUAGCUGGUCUGAGAGGAUGACCAGCCACACUGGAACUGGGAAACGGUCCAGACUCCUACGGGGGGCAGCAGUGGGGAAUAUUGGACAAUGGGCGCAAGCCUGAUUGAGCCAUGCCGCGGGGAUGGAGAAGGCCUUCGGGUUGUAAAGUACUUUCAGGGAGGAGGCGUUACUCGCAGAAGAAACAUCGGCUAACUCCGUGCCAGCCGCCGCGGUAAUUC
rnacentral:rRNA from 1 species